ACGUCAACAAUAGUUUUACGUUUUAAUAUGUUUUUUGAUGUCAAAGCGAUACUUCGUACAUUAUUUAGAAUAUAAGUUAACUCCAGAAUUGUGCUAACAGAAUCGCUGUGACAUUUAAAAUCAUAUUUAUUUUAAAUGUGUGUAAAUGUAAAUUGUACAUGGAUCUAAUACUACCCAAUAACAACCGCUUUUGCAAGAUUUUCUACAAGUGUUGAGUCGAUAUAUAAAUAGAGAUAGGACACUACGCAUCACAGCCUUUGAUAAACAAGUCACGUGACGCUGGUUGGUACGGGGAAGAAACAAAACGAUGGGUCUUCCGAGGUGUUUAGAUUCUACAACCUCAGGCGAGCGCUUUACCGACUGAGCUAAUUCCCGCUACGUGUACAGUUGGUGUUCUCCAUGCUGACGUUUAAACAACCGUGUGGCGUAGUAAAACUGGCGCUAAAACUGCAUGUUGUAUCAAGGCAGUUGACGUACGAUAUCAUUCUUCUUCUUGUUGUUCUUGUAAUGCGAAAGCUCAGACAGGAAUCCCAGUAGCUCGAACAAAUGCUGAGUCGAAUAGUUUCUCGUUCAGGGAUUGAUCUGAAGACCAGACUUCACUCUCCACUGCUCCUGAUAGUGGGGCAGUGUUGCAGGAAAUGAUCGCGGUCCAGAGUAUGAUAACCGAUGGCAGUGAAAAACUCUUGAGUUAAUCAAAGCUGUGUUUGUGUGCAGCAACGUUAAAUAGUGAGGAAUAGUGAUUAUAGAUGUCUCAAUAAAUAAUCUGUGUUUGCACGUGCCUAUAAAUGACAUAUAAAACCAAUCUCUAUUGUACAAAGUUAUUACAUUUUAAAGGAGCACAGGCACUUCAAAAAGGUCUUCAAAUUCCGGAGAAGAAAACAUCAGCAAUGCCAACAGUGCGCGGAUUUUGUUAAACGUUUAUAUUCUGCACUUGCAGUAAACUAUUUUACAGUAUAUGUAAAUUAUCUUAACAGAUAAAUCAUUUAAACUCAA